UAGGGAAUAUUGCAUAAUGGGCGAAAGCCUGAUGCAGCAACGCCGCGUGUGCGAUGAAGGCCUUCGGGUCGUAAAGCACUUUUUGAGAGGAUGAGGAAGGACAGUACUCUCAGAAUAAGCCUCGGCUAACUACGUGCCAGCAGCCGCGGUAAUACGUAGGGGGCAAGCGUUGUCCGGAUUUACUGGGUGUAAAGGGCGCGCAGGCGGGAUAAAAAGUCAGUGGUGAAAUCCUACAGCUUAACUGUAGAACUGCCUUUGAUACUUUUAUUCUUGAGUGCGAGAGAGAGAGACGGAAUUCCAGGUGUAGUGGUGAAAUACGUAGAUAUCUGGAAGAACACCAGUUGCGAAGGCGGUCUCUUGGUCCGACACUGACGCUGAGGCGCGAAAGCGUGGGGA
rnacentral:rRNA from 1 species